CGUAACGCGUAUAGAACCUACCCUUUACAGGGGGAUAGCCCGGAGAAAUUCGGAUUAAUACCCCAUAGUAAUAUUUUGUGGCAUCACAGAGUAUUUAAAGUUUCGGCGGUAGAGGAUGGCUAUGCGUCUUAUUAGUUAGUAGGUGAGGUAACGGCUCACCUAGACAGCGAUAAGUAGGGGCCCUGAGAGGGGGAUCCCCCACACUGGUACUGAGACACGGACCAGACUCCUACGGGAGGCAGCAGUGAGGAAUAUUGGACAAUGGUCGAGAGACUGAUCCAGCCAUGCCGCGUGCAGGAAGACGGCCUUACGGGUUGUAAACUGCUUUUAUACGGGAAGAAUAAUACCCACGUGUGGGUAGAUGACGGUACCGUAAGAAUAAGGACCGGCUAACUCCGUGCCAGCAGCCGCGGUAAUACGGAGGGUCCGAGCGUUAUCCGGAAUUAUUGGGUUUAAAGGGUCCGCAGGCGGGUCAGUAAGUCAGGGGUGAAAGUUUGCGGCUUAACCGUAAAAUUGCCUUUGAUACUGCUGGUCUUGAGUUGCGGUGAAGUGGCUGGAAUAUGUGGUGUAGCGGUGAAAUGCAUAGAUAUCACAUAGAACACCGACUGCGAAGGCAGGUCACUAACCGCCGACUGACGCUGAUGGACGAAAGCGCGGGGAGCGAACGGGAUUAGAUACCCCGGUAGUCCACGCCGUAAACGAUGGACACUAGCUGUCGGGCCUAUUGUAGGUUCGGUGGCUAAGCGAAAGUGAUAAGUGUCCCACCUGGGGAGUACGUCGGCAACGAUGAAACUCAAAGGAAUUGACGGGGGCCCGCACAAGCGGUGGAGCAUGUGGUUUAAUUCGAUGAUACGCGAGGAACCUUACCAGGGCUUAAAUGUAGUGGGACAGGCUUAGAGAUAGGCUUUUCUUCGGACUCAUUACAAGGUGCUGCAUGGUUGUCGUCAGCUCGUGCCGUGAGGUGUCAGGUUAAGUCCUAUAUCGAGCGCAACCCUACCGUUAGUUGCCAGUGAGUAAAGU
rnacentral:rRNA from 1 species